CCUAAAAGCAGCCNNNUUUUAAAAAGCGUCAAAGCUUAACUAUGUAAAUCUUAAAUUCUCAGAUCCCUACUGACCCCUUUAACUGUACUGAGAACUUCUAUAAACCUAUAGAACCUUUUCUGCUAAAACUAGUAACAAGAGGUCCCCCCCUCUCCUUAAUGCAAGCACAACCCAGCAAGAACCAAUCACUGGCAACUAGCAGACAAUAAAUGUAGCAACUUCGCUAGAAAACCCUACUUCCAUCUCUGUUAACCUAACACUAGAGCAUUUCAAGAAAGAUUAAAAGAAAGAGAAGGAAUUCAGCAAAUAUAGCCUCGCCUGUUUACCAAAAACAUCGCCUCUUGCCCCCACCAUAAGAGGUCCAGCCUGCCCAGUGACUCUGUUCAACGGCCGCGGUAUCCUAACCGUGCAAAGGUAGCGUAAUCACUUGUCUUCUAAAUAAAGACCAGUAUGAAAGGCAC
rnacentral:rRNA from 1 species